UGUGCAAGGUGGGGAGCUAGCGGUGCCCUGUAACUCGCAAUCCGCUAUAGCGAGACUGACGGCUAACCGAGGCUGUAUCUAUGGGAGGCUGGCCUCGGCAAGGAGUGUUGAUAUUAGGGUCUUGUGCAAUCCGACUCUGCGAACCAUGUCAGGGCUUGACCGCAGCAGCAUUAAACAGUUCGUCGGGUGUGCCACAAGGUCGCUCUAAAGGAGCAACCUACCGAGUUACCGC
rnacentral:SRP_RNA from 1 species